UUAAGCGACUAAGCGUACACGGUGGAUGCCCUGGCAGUCAGAGGCGAUGAAGGACGUGCUAAUCUGCGAUAAGCGUCGGUAAGGUGAUAUGAACCGUUAUAACCGGCGAUUUCCGAAUGGGGAAACCCAGUGUGUUUCGACACACUAUCAUUAACUGAAUCCAUAGGUUAAUGAGGCGAACCGGGGGAACUGAAACAUCUAAGUACCCCGAGGAAAAGAAAUCAACCGAGAUUCCCCCAGUAGCGGCGAGCGAACGGGGAGCAGCCCAGAGCCUGAAUCAGUGUGUGUGUUAGUGGAAGCGUCUGGAAAGGCGCGCGAUACAGGGUGACAGCCCCGUACACAAAAAUGCACAUGCUGUGAGCUCGAUGAGUAGGGCGGGACACGUGGUAUCCUGUCUGAAUAUGGGGGGACCAUCCUCCAAGGCUAAAUACUCCUGACUGACCGAUAGUGAACCAGUACCGUGAGGGAAAGGCGAAAAGAACCCCGGCGAGGGGAGUGAAAAAGAACCUGAAACCGUGUACGUACAAGCAGUGGGAGCACGCUUAGGCGUGUGACUGCGUACCUUUUGUAUAAUGGGUCAGCGACUUAUAUUCUGUAGCAAGGUUAACCGAAUAGGGGAGCCGAAGGGAAACCGAGUCUUAACUGGGCGUUAAGUUGCAGGGUAUAGACCCGAAACCCGGUGAUCUAGCCAUGGGCAGGUUGAAGGUUGGGUAACACUAACUGGAGGACCGAACCGACUAAUGUUGAAAAAUUAGCGGAUGACUUGUGGCUGGGGGUGAAAGGCCAAUCAAACCGGGAGAUAGCUGGUUCUCCCCGAAAGCUAUUUAGGUAGCGCCUCGUGAAUUCAUCUCCGGGGGUAGAGCACUGUUUCGGCAAGGGGGUCAUCCCGACUUACCAACCCGAUGCAAACUGCGAAUACCGGAGAAUGUUAUCACGGGAGACACACGGCGGGUGCUAACGUCCGUCGUGAAGAGGGAAACAACCCAGACCGCCAGCUAAGGUCCCAAAGUCAUGGUUAAGUGGGAAACGAUGUGGGAAGGCCCAGACAGCCAGGAUGUUGGCUUAGAAGCAGCCAUCAUUUAAAGAAAGCGUAAUAGCUCACUGGUCGAGUCGGCCUGCGCGGAAGAUGUAACGGGGCUAAACCAUGCACCGAAGCUGCGGCAGCGACACUAUGUGUUGUUGGGUAGGGGAGCGUUCUGUAAGCCUGUGAAGGUGUGCUGUGAGGUAUGCUGGAGGUAUCAGAAGUGCGAAUGCUGACAUAAGUAACGAUAAAGCGGGUGAAAAGCCCGCUCGCCGGAAGACCAAGGGUUCCUGUCCAACGUUAAUCGGGGCAGGGUGAGUCGACCCCUAAGGCGAGGCCGAAAGGCGUAGUCGAUGGGAAACAGGUUAAUAUUCCUGUACUUGGUGUUACUGCGAAGGGGGGACGGAGAAGGCUAUGUUGGCCGGGCGACGGUUGUCCCGGUUUAAGCGUGUAGGCUGGUUUUCCAGGCAAAUCCGGAAAAUCAAGGCUGAGGCGUGAUGACGAGGCACUACGGUGCUGAAGCAACAAAUGCCCUGCUUCCAGGAAAAGCCUCUAAGCAUCAGGUAACAUCAAAUCGUACCCCAAACCGACACAGGUGGUCAGGUAGAGAAUACCAAGGCGCUUGAGAGAACUCGGGUGAAGGAACUAGGCAAAAUGGUGCCGUAACUUCGGGAGAAGGCACGCUGAUAUGUAGGUGAAGUCCCUCGCGGAUGGAGCUGAAAUCAGUCGAAGAUACCAGCUGGCUGCAACUGUUUAUUAAAAACACAGCACUGUGCAAACACGAAAGUGGACGUAUACGGUGUGACGCCUGCCCGGUGCCGGAAGGUUAAUUGAUGGGGUUAGCCGCAAGGCGAAGCUCUUGAUCGAAGCCCCGGUAAACGGCGGCCGUAACUAUAACGGUCCUAAGGUAGCGAAAUUCCUUGUCGGGUAAGUUCCGACCUGCACGAAUGGCGUAAUGAUGGCCAGGCUGUCUCCACCCGAGACUCAGUGAAAUUGAACUCGCUGUGAAGAUGCAGUGUACCCGCGGCAAGACGGAAAGACCCCGUGAACCUUUACUAUAGCUUGACACUGAACAUUGAGCCUUGAUGUGUAGGAUAGGUGGGAGGCUUUGAAGUGUGGACGCCAGUCUGCAUGGAGCCGACCUUGAAAUACCACCCUUUAAUGUUUGAUGUUCUAACGUUGACCCGUAAUCCGGGUUGCGGACAGUGUCUGGUGGGUAGUUUGACUGGGGCGGUCUCCUCCUAAAGAGUAACGGAGGAGCACGAAGGUUGGCUAAUCCUGGUCGGACAUCAGGAGGUUAGUGCAAUGGCAUAAGCCAGCUUGACUGCGAGCGUGACGGCGCGAGCAGGUGCGAAAGCAGGUCAUAGUGAUCCGGUGGUUCUGAAUGGAAGGGCCAUCGCUCAACGGAUAAAAGGUACUCCGGGGAUAACAGGCUGAUACCGCCCAAGAGUUCAUAUCGACGGCGGUGUUUGGCACCUCGAUGUCGGCUCAUCACAUCCUGGGGCUGAAGUAGGUCCCAAGGGUAUGGCUGUUCGCCAUUUAAAGUGGUACGCGAGCUGGGUUUAGAACGUCGUGAGACAGUUCGGUCCCUAUCUGCCGUGGGCGCUGGAGAACUGAGGGGGGCUGCUCCUAGUACGAGAGGACCGGAGUGGACGCAUCACUGGUGUUCGGGUUGUCAUGCCAAUGGCACUGCCCGGUAGCUAAAUGCGGAAGAGAUAAGUGCUGAAAGCAUCUAAGCACGAAACUUGCCCCGAGAUGAGUUCUCCCUGACCCUUUAAGGGUCCUGAAGGAACGUUGAAGACGACGACGUUGAUAGGCCGGGUGUGUAAGCGCAGCGAUGCGUUGAGCUAACCGGUACUAAUGAACCGUGAGGCUUAACCUU
rnacentral:rRNA from 1 species